AGAUGGGAGAGGCUGACUGCACUCAUGGUCCCUAAGACUGACUAGUCUGAUCAGAAUUGUUAGGCAUGUGUCUCCUUCCUCCAUCCUGUCUUCAUGCAUAUUUCUUCAAAGUCAUGCCCUCAUUGAAGAAGAUGACCUUUCCCAUUAGAAGAGUGCCAUUCUUCAGCUUAAAGUAUGUGAAUACCUAUACUUCCCUAGAAUAAUUAAUGUUAAGCACUGAUUGAAAGUAGCAGAGAACAGGAGAUGCCUACCAAAUUUCCAAAUGCAGUUAAUAAGACUUGCUUCUGCAAU
rnacentral:sRNA from 1 species